AGUCAUAUGCUUGUCUCAAAGAUUAAGCCAUGCAUGUGUAAGUACAUACCUAAACAAGGUGAAACCGCGAAUGGCUCAUUAAAUCAGCUGUGGUUCAUUGGAUCUUAAACCCACUUACUUGGAUAACUGUGGUAAUUCUAGAGCUAAUACAUGCGUCCAGUCUCUGACCGCAAGGGAAGAGCGCUCUUAUUAGUCCAAAACCGGUCGGGCCUCGGUCCGUAACCCUUCGGUGGUGAAUCUGAAUAAUUUUGACCUGAGCGCACGGCCUCCGCGCCGGCGCCGUAUCUUUCAAGUGUCUGCCUUAUCAGCUCUCGACUGUAGGUUAUGUGCCUACAUUGGCGAUAACGGGUAACGGGGAAUCAGGGUUCGAUUCCGGAGAGGGAGCCUGAGAAACGGCUACCACAUCUAAGGAAGGCAGCAGGCACGCAAAUUACCCACUCCCGGCACGGGGAGGUAGUGACGAAAAAUAACGGUGCGAGACUCAUCCGAGGCCUCGCAAUCGGAAUGAGUACACUUUAAAUCCUUUAACGAGGAUCGAUUGGAGGGCAAGUCUGGUGCCAGCAGCCGCGGUAAUUCCAGCUCCAAUAGCGUAUAUUAAAGUUGUUGCGGUUAAAAAGCUCGUAGUUGGCUCCCAGUUCCGGACUGGCGGCGCACCGCCCGGUGUCUGUCCGUCACGCUCCGAACAGCAGGGACCAACCCUGCCCGGCCGGCUCGCCCGGGGUGCCCUUCACCGGGUGUCCCGCGUGGCCGGCGCGUUUACUUUGAAAAAAUUAGAGUGCUCAGAGCAGGCUGCUUGAAUGGCCUGGAUGGUGAUGCAUGGAAUAAUGGAAUAGGACCUCGGUUCUAUUUUAUUGGUUUUCGGAUCCAGAGGUAAUGACGAAUAGAAACAGGCGGGGGCAUUCGUACUGCGACGCUAGAGGUGAAAUUCUUGGACCGUCGCAAGACGAACUACUGCGAAAGCAUUUGCCAAGGAUGUUUUCAUUAAUCAAGAACGAAAGUUAGAGGUUCGAAGGCGAUCAGAUACCGCCCUAGUUCUAACCAUAAACGAUGCUGACCAGCGAUCCGCCGGCGUUAUUCCCAUGACCCGGCGGGCGGCUUCCGGGAAACCAAAGUCUUUGGGUUCCGGGGGAAGUAUGGUUGCAAAGCUGAAACUUAAAGGAAUUGACGGAAGGGCACCACCAGGAGUGGAGCCUGCGGCUUAAUUUGACUCAACACGGGGAACCUCACCAGGCCCGGACACCGGGAGGAUUGACAGAUUGAGAGCUCUUUCUCGAUUCGGUGGGUGGUGGUGCAUGGCCGUUCUUAGUUGGUGGAGCG
rnacentral:rRNA from 1 species